GACGAACGCUGGCGGCGUGCUUAACACAUGCAAGUCGAACGGAGCGGCCCUGCUGUUGUGGGGUGCUCGAGUGGCCAACGGGUGAGUAACCCGUGAGUAACCUGCCCUUGACUUUGGGAUAACUUCAGGAAACUGGGGCUAAUACCGGAUAGGAGCUCCUCCUGCAUGGUGGGGGUGGGAAAGUUUCGGCGGUUGGGGAUGGACGCGCGGCUUAUCAGCGUGUUGGUGGGGUAGUGGCUUACCAAGGCUUUGACGGGUAGCCGGGCUGAGAGGGUGACCGGGGCCAGUGGGGCUGAGAUACGGCCCAGACGCCUACGGGCGGCAGCAGUGGUGACUAGUGCACAAAGGGCGGAAGCCUGAUGCAGCAACUCCGGGUGCGGGAAGACGGCCUUCGGGUUGUAAGGCGCGUUCGCCUGUGACGAAGCGUGAGUGAGGGUAAGGGGUAAAGAAGUACCGGCGAACUACGUG
rnacentral:rRNA from 1 species